GUCCGAUUAGCUAGUUGGCGGGGUAAAGGCCCACCAAGGCGACGAUCGGUAGCUGGCCUGAGAGGAUGAUCAGCCACACUGGGACUGAGACACGGCCCAGACUCCUACGGGAGGCAGCAGUGGGGAAUUUUGGACAAUGGGGGCAACCCUGAUCCAGCCAUGCCGCGUGCAGGAUGACGGUCCUAUGGAUUGUAAACUGCUUUUGCACAGGAAGAAACAACGCUACGUGUAGCGUCUUGACGGUACUGUGAGAAUAAGGAUCGGCUAACUCCGUGCCAGCAGCCGCGGUAAUACGGAGGAUCCAAGCGUUAUCCGGAAUCAUUGGGUUUAAAGGGUCCGUAGGCGGUUUAGUAAGUCAGUGGUGAAAGCCCAUCGCUCAACGGUGGAACGGCCAUUGAUACUGCUAGACUUGAAUUAUUAGGAAGUAACUAGAAUAUGUAGUGUAGCGGUGAAAUGCUUAGAGAUUACAUGGAAUACCAAUUGCGAAGGCAGGUUACUACUAAUUGAUUGACGCUGAUGGACGAAAGCGUGGGUAGCGAACAGGAUUAGAUACCCUGGUAGUCCACGCCGUAAACGAUGGAUACUAGCUGU
rnacentral:rRNA from 1 species